UUGAGUGGUCUCAUUUGGAACUGAUGAGGGGUGGGCAAGAAGGGAAUGGCCACCUGCCUCUCUGACAUCAUUAGUGACCAUUCCAUUGAUUUUUUUGGGUUACAGGAAACCUUGAAGGAUUUUACACCUAAACUUCUUAGAAAACUUGACCCCUUCAAUUCAUUCCAUUGGGAAUGGAUUCCUGCUAUUGGGAAGUCUGGGGGCAUUCUUUGCGGUAUUCACUUUAGCAACCUGGAGUUGUUGAAAUGCGUUAAGGGGAAUUACAUUCUACAAAUGCAUGUUAAAGAUCUCAGGACCAAGAAUAUCUGGACUUUUCUAGUGAUAUAUGGAUCUGCUCAUGAGGAGCAUAGGGAAGAGUUCCUAAUGGAACUGGCCUCCUUUUGCCAUAACACUUAUGUUCCCUAUAUAGUUGGGGGUGACUUCAAUAUUUUGAGACAUAUCCAAGUCUGUUGA
rnacentral:rRNA from 1 species